UAGGGAAUCUUCCGCAAUGGGCGAAAGCCUGACGGAGCAACGCCGCGUGAGUGAUGAAGGUCUUCGGAUCGUAAAACUCUGUUAUUAGGGAAGAACAAAUGUGUAAGUAACUAUGCACGUCUUGACGGUACCUAAUCUGAAAGCCACGGCUAACUACGUGCCAGCAGCCGCGGUAAUACGUAGGUGGCAAGCGUUAUCCGGAAUUAUUGGGCGUAAAGCGCGCGUAGGCGGGUUUUUAAGUCUGAUGUGAAAGCCUACGGCUCAACCGUGGAGGGUCAUUGGAAACUGGAAAACUUGAGUGCAGAAGAGGAAAGGGGAAUUCCAUGUGUAGCGGUGAAAUGCGCAGAGAUAUGGAGGAACACCAGUGGCGAAGGCGAAUUUCUGGUCUGUAACUGACGCUGAUGUGCGAAAGCGUGGGGAUCAAACAGG
rnacentral:rRNA from 1 species